ACAGAGGUCCCGAGCGUUAGGCGGAAUCACUGGGCUUAAAGCGUGUGUAGGCGGAUGCCUAAGUACCUUGUGAAAUCCCACGGCUCACCCGUGGAACUGCUUGGUAUACUGGGUGUCUUGAGCCACUUAGGGGCUACCGGAACAAAUGGUGGAGCGGUGAAAUGCGUAGAUAUCGGGAGGAACACCUGUGGCGAAGGCGGCCCCCUGGUUGGAUACUGACGCUGAUACGCGAAAGCGUGGGGAGCAAACAGGA
rnacentral:rRNA from 1 species